AGCAGCAUGGUCUAGUGGAAAGACCAUGGGUCUGCGAGUUAGAGGAUCUGGGUUCUAAUCCCAGCUCUGCUA
rnacentral:tRNA from 1 species